ACGGCUAAUGUAGACACAGACUUCACCAUCUGGUUGUUGGAAGCUUCUUUUAGUAUGUUGACCAAACUUGUGUGGUUCAAAAUCAAUUAUUUGACUUGAAAAAUUUGUUUUCCUAGUUGUUGGAGAGGAUAACUUCGACUAGGUAGUCAGUGUAUUCGAGGUUGGGGAAACGGAAGUUGAGAUCUUUAUUGGUAUUCUCUGGUUAUAUUGGGUUCAGUUCUCGUAUGGCUGUUGCCAAGAGCAACA
rnacentral:misc_RNA from 1 species